UACGGGGGGGGCAAGCGUUGUUCGGAAUUAUUGGGCGUAAAGAGCUCGUAGGCGGUUUGUCGCGUCUGCUGUGAAAACUCGGGGCUUAACUCCGGGCCUGCAGUGGGUACGGGCAGACUAGAGUGCGGUAGGGGAGACUGGAAUUCCUGGUGUAGCGGUGAAAUGCGCAGAUAUCAGGAGGAACACCGGUGGCGAAGGCGGGUCUCUGGGCAACAACUGACGCUGAGGAGCGAAAGCGUGGGGAGCGAACAGG
rnacentral:rRNA from 1 species